GGAACCCAAACCACAGACAUAAAUAUGCUGUGUUCUUUGGAGUCCCUUGGCGAGAUAAGGGAGUGUGACACUGGGGAUUAUGGCGUUCGUGGACCCAGGGCUUGUUUCUGAGGAACUAAGAGAGUCAGGGUUUGUGCUCAGGUCCAAAGUCCUCAGGAUCUUUGGUGUGACCCAGACCACAGUGGCCUGGACCACGCUGGGGGUGCAGAGAGGUUCACACCCUCUGUAGUGCAUCCCCAAAGUGCAGGGUGGGGAAUCUGCCGGCAACACAGCACCCCAGCGCAGCACCCGAGGAUGCCUCAGAGAGGCCAGUGGAGGAGCGGGCAUGUCGGGUACCUGUGUCUUCUGCCUGAUUCUCGUUAACCUGAAAAUCCUGUUUGGUUUUCCUGCGCUUCUUGAGAAUGUCACUCAACCCAAUGAAUCCUUUCUGUGACCUAAGCAUCAUGAGACCUGCAAUACUCAGCUUCCUGCUUCCACCUUGGCCCCUACGCAAACUGUUAUCCACACCCAGUCACAAGGAUCCUGUGGAAACCUGUCAGGGAUAAAUGAAGCAUCCUGGCGUCAGCUACUCAGACCAAGGCUCAGGAUGAGAUGAAGUGACAAAUCAUCAAUCUGAGAUGAAGUUGCCAGAGACCUGUGUGAUUCCACAUGCCUCUCGGUCCCUGCCACCAUGAUGGAUAGAUGUGCCCGGCAUGGCCCACUGGCCCCAGGAGAAGGACGAGGGCAUGAGGGACAGUGAUGAGCCCGGCCCACUGUGGCUUCCACCUGAGCAGGAAGACCAGCCACGAGGACAAAAGUCGCCUAUUCAGGAUGGCUGAGCAAAAACGAGGAAAGACCCCUCGCUCCUGGUGGAUCAGAGCCGCCCCAUCAGCCCUGUGAGCCCCUGGAUCCUUAGGAGCUAGGGGUGAAGGUCAAGGGCAGCCCAGCCAGCGAGCAGGCUGGAUUGGUGUUCCUCAAAGCUGCAGGCGACCUGAUCGAGCCGCCACACCAUCUCCACGCCCGCUUCACGAUGAGGCAUUUUGAGUUGGGUUUGCAGCUCCUGGCUCUUGGACGUGCCCAGGGCACAGUGAUGUCUGGUGCUGAGCAAGACCUAAGUUCCAGGAGCUGAGAUGGGCUGGGUCUGGACACAAGUGAAAGGGCAGGUGUGCUUUCCUGCCACUCCAGAAGAUGGCAGAGAGGCGGGCUGAUUUCCUGUGUGUCCUCCAGCCGCAGCCAGUGGCCCCCAGCUAAGGAGUAGGGUCCAUGUCUACUUUUGACAUCCAGGGAGAGUCCGGAGUCUGAGUCUUGGAGUGUUUUUGUUCCCCUGGAGGAGGAAGCUAAGGUUUGUGAGGGAAGUAGUACCACCCAAGGCACAGGGCCCUGGUUGGAUUUGAACCCAGAUCUGCUGGGUUCUGGAACCGUUCUGGGCCCCAUCUCCUCACUGCUAAAUGAAGAGAUUAUUCAAGAUCAAAGCUUUUCCAACAUUUCCUUUCAAAGCAGGCAAAGGCCUCUUUUACAGCUGAACUUUCACUUGGUGCCCAACCUAUAAACCAAGAUGAAAGAGACAGUUCAGAGACGAGGGUCAGCGGCCCCAGGUUCCUCCCUGGAAUCCUGGGGCUGGUGGGCCUUUGGGGAAAACCCAGCCCAGACAGUGUCAAGGCCCUUGGGAAAGUGUCUGCAUCUUAGUGGGGAGUCAGAAACAUCGCUGAGACGGUGUGUGGAAGACAGCCGGCCCAGGGCAAGAGGGACAGAAAGCCAAAGUGAAGCGGCAAAGCAGGGGCCCAAAACUCUUCUCCUCUGCCAGCCUCCACCCUGCCCUGCAUCCCCAAGCAGCCCAAUGCCCUGGCCUGUGUCUCCCCCAGAGAUGGCCCGGCUGUCCCCCAGCAAGGAGCACCCUCCCUCCUUAAAUCUCUCUCUCUCUCUCUCUCUCUCUCUGUCUGUCGUCUCUCUCCCUUUCACACACUCACACACACACACAGAGUGUAGCACUCUAUAAUCGCGGCUUUGUUUCUUGUUUUCCUCAGUUAACAUUGCAUCUUGGCAGUUGUUCCAAAUCAGUACACAGAGAUGCUGGCUUUACUUCGGUGGGCGCACCGUAUUGAAAUAGUACUUAAUUUAGAAGGCGACAGAGGCCUCCGUUCUUGGCUCCCGGACCGUUUCCAGCAUUGCAGGGUCAGAGAGUGCAGAUGGCUGCCCUUAGGUCCUGCAUCUUGCUGUCCAUUUAUCACUUGAGAUUCCCCUUCCUCGCUCCCUCCCGCCUCGCUCCUCCCUCUUCUCUCCCUCCUCUUUCUUUCUGU